rnacentral:lncRNA from 1 species
ACUCUACCAUAUUAAAGUUUUAUCUUCUUCAAACCACCAUAGCCAUUACAAAACAAAUACAAUCUUAAACCAAAACUUCUUCCUCUCUCCAUUCCCAUGAUAGAUACCUUCUUCAUUCUUCAAUAUAUUCUAACCAAAAUGAAUGCUUCCCUACAUAAUACCAUAACAAACUCACCUUAAAUUUUGUACUUCUUCAAUUAACAACCAUGAACACAUAACCUCACACAAAAUAUCAUCUCAUUGAAACAACACACACUAGCAAUCUUCUCACCUUCAUUUUGAUUCAACAACCCAACCGCAACAACACGUCGGCACCACAACAUCGCCCAACACAUCAGAAGCUUUCAGCCGCUGCUCUACACCACAUGCACACCACUGGAAAACCAUCACCAUCUUGAAUUUGAAUGAACCACCUCUUCGCCGCCUCACUUGUUUCCAUCAUUGAUGUGUCCGAUUCGAGUAAGCAUCGAGAGAGAUGAUAAGUCUUUAUUUUUAAGCCAUUGUUGAUGUUUGAGUUUUUUAGAGAGUUAAAAAAAUGAAGGAAAAGAGAUAGGAGAGCUGAGUUUUCCUACUCGUAUCAGGUACUGGUCUUUUAUGCUACUGAUUUUGUUUUUCUUUUAUGCUUUUUUUUCAUUUAUUUAUUAGAGUUGAGAUUUACUUUUUUAUUUUAUUGGUUUGGAUUGGAUAACUUAGAUGAAGUUUUAUUUAAUGAAUCUGUACAGAGACAAGAUUUGUUUUUAAGUAUAUGUUUCUGGUAUAAAAAGUCAAAGAUAAAUAAUGGCAAAAGAUCUUUAAAUUUGGAGUACUGUAUUGUUAGUACUAGGAAACAAAUUAUCAUCUAUCAGCUAUGAAGUAUUAAACCUUAUAACUAGUAUUGUUAAUUUUGGUAAGUUUUAGAACUCAUGAAAUCUUAAAUAAUAUUGACUUCAAGAUCAACAUGUAAGAAGAGAAAAAAUGUGUUUGCCUCAUUUGUAAAGAACAAUAGUUAUUUAGAUCUUUUAAACUUAAAUUUUUAAAAUUUGAAUUGUUCUAUGUGGGUCUUUUAAUGUAGUUUAGGAAUAUUUGGUUUAGAAUUUGUUAUUGUUUGUUUUAAAUGCAUCACCAUAAAUGACAACUAGCUUGUAAAAUAGGAAAAUAAGUCUAUUUUGGUUUAGACUCAGUUUAGAAUUGCUUCCAAUUUCAUAUAAUAUUUGGCACUUUUUUAUACAAUUAUGUUUUCUCAUUUUGUCACCUAAGCUCUUUUCUAAUUNUUAAGAAAUACUCUUGAUUUCUUAAUCAUGAAUGUAAAUGAAAUAUGUAUGAGUUAAGAAAUACUCUUGACUUCUUAAUCAUGAAUGUAAAUGAAUUGAGAAAUGCUCUUGAUUUCUCAGAUGAAAUGCAAAUGAAUUAAGAAACACUCUUGAUUCCUUAAUCAUGAAUGUAAAUAUGCUGAGAAAUGCUCUUGACUUCUCAGAUGCUAUGCAAAUUAAUUAAGAAAUACUCUUGAUUCCCUAAUCAUGAAUGUAAAUGAAUUGAGAAAUGGUCUUGAUUUCUCAGAUGAUAUGAAGACGAGUUAAGAAAUACUCUUGAUUCCUUAAUCAUUGAAUGUAAAUGUACUGAGAAAUGCUCUUGAUUUCUCAGAUGAUAUGCAAAUGAGUUAAGAAAUACUCUUGAUUUCUUAAUCAUGAAUGUAAAUGAAUUAUGUAUGAGUUAAGAAAUACUCUUGAUUUCUUAAUCAUGAAUGUAAAUGAAAUAUGUAUGAGUUAAGAAAUACUCUUGAUUUCUUAAUCAUGAUAGUGCAGAUGAAUUAAGAAAUACUCUUGAUUCCUUAAUUAUGAAUGUAAAUGAGAAAUGCUCUUGAUUUCUCAUAUGACAUGCAAAUGACUAGGGAUGAGAGAAUCAUGUUCAGUUGCUCUUGACUGACAUUAGGUCUCUAGGAUGGAUCUGUUAUAACGUAACAUGCUCGACUGGUCUUCAGACGUUCUUCGUUGAAGGCAGACACUCCUGGGGGAAUAAAUGAUCAUAUUCAGCUGCUUUUGGCUAAAGAUGUCAUAUUCAACAACUCUUGGCUGAAACUGAUGCAUUCAACGACUCUUGGUUGAAGCAAAAACUGUAAAAUAAAGUAGUGUUCAGCUGUUUUUUACUGAAACCACUGCAUUCAACUGCUCAUGGUUGAAGCAAAACUGGGAGAUAAAAAUCUUCUACUUAAUCUCAUGUUUUGAAAUUGUUAAAUAAUAAACUUAUUAUUAAAUUUGUUGAACACAUUUUUCUCAAUAAAAUUUACACAACUAUAAAAAUCAAGGAAAUAAAGCAUAUAUACAGAAUUUAGCGACGAAAAAAACCACAACAUAGAAAAUCACGAGUAAAAGCUAUACAACUCCUAUCUAGAGAAAUUAUGUGAUAGUUGAAAGAAUUAGAAAAGAGCUUAGGUGACAAAAUGAGAAAACAUAAUUGUAUAAAAAAGUGCCAAAUAUUAUAUGAAAUUGGAAGCAAUUCUAAACUGAGUACUUCAAGGAAAUAAUUCAUUUUUAAGGAGUCAAGAGUACUUCUUAACCUUCAUUUACAUGCAUAUCGCCCGACAAUUAGGAAAUCAAGAGUAUUUCUUAAAUCUCGUUGCAUUCAUUUGCAUUAUUGUCUGUUGAUUAAGAAAUCAAGAGUAUUUCUUAAAUCCAAGUGCAUUCGGUCAUAAUCAUAAGCAUAUCAUUCUUCUACAUUAGAAGGGCAAAAUUUGGGUCUGUUUGGUAUUUAAACUAUCUUUUACCAUGAUGAUUUGAAGACAAGAGUUCUUCAUAUCCUCCGGUUAAAUAUGUUUAAAUAGGGGCAGCUGUCAUACCCUAAAUUUCACCCUGAGUUUUCACUCGCAUCAGCAUAACAUAAAUCGAUCCAUUUUGUCGUGUAUUUCAUCAAUUUAAAGCAUUCAUCAGGGUUCAGGUAAAAGGUCAGGAAUUCUGACAUUUUAUCUGAAUUUGAUAAUACUUAUUCAGUCGUCUGUUGAUUAAGAAGUCAAAAGACUUGAUUUCUCAAUCUCGUUGCAUCGCUUAUUUUUAUUACGUCGUAUUUUAGAGGUUCGGAAAGUGAUAAUCAAGAUUAUUGUCGUCGUCUGAAUCUUUGUAGGUUUUGUUUGUGCUUGAGAAUCAACAGCAAAUCGUACAAGAGCGAUUCAUUUGCAUCUGACUGUCUGUUCACGAUUAUUCAGUCAGCAAUUCAGUUCAUUUACAUGACGCUUGCAUUUUUUUACUUGUAAAAACAUGCAUUUUGUUUCACAUAGUGCUUAAAAUAUACUUGAAUUAAUUUUUUCGAAACUACAGACAGACCGGUCAAAUCGUUUCUCAACUGUACGUCGAACUAUCGGGCGGAAAAUUUCAAAAUUGAACUUGCAGACGUCAGUUUUAGUAAUCUACGAUUUGUGUAUUUUAAUUUGGCAUGCUCAUUUUAAUUUUUUGACUACUUUUUCAGUCGCAUUUUAAUCAGUUUGAGCCUUUUAACCGGUCGAUUUUUAUUUCAAAAUUUGAUCGAAACAUGUAUGUUUCUGAGAAGUUUAUUUCACAUUGAUAAGUUUGAUGCAUUCAAUUUAUUUAUUUUUGGGGCAUUUUUUGCCCGAUUUUUAUUUAUUUUUUAUCCGAUUAUUUUUUAUUCUUAACCAAAAUGUCGUUGGAAUUAAUUAGAUUUGUCCGAAUUUUUAUUUUUAUUUUAUUUUGCAUUUUCGAUUUUUAUUUUAAAUUAUUAAUAUUUUAGUUUUUUAGAAAAAUUAAUUUAAGAAAAAAAUCAGAAAAUAUCUUUUGAUCCCCCACUCAAUUGUUGUCACGUGUCCCCAUUUUUCUGCCAUCCACAUGAAACCACGUCUCUCUUUUUUACACCACAAAUACCUCUUCCUCCAAUCAACAGCAAGGACUACAAGGAAAUAAUACAAAAGAAACAUGUGGAAAAGAAAACGAACAAAAGAAGGUCGAAUGAAUUGACCAUCAUCUUCUUGCUCAUACUCCAUCAAUAUCUCUAACUCUACCAUAUUAAAGUUUUAUCUUCUUCAAACCACCAUAGCCAUUACAAAACAAAUACAAUCUUAAACCAAAACUUCUUCCUCUCUCCAUUCCCAUGAUAGAUACCUUCUUCAUUCUUCAAUAUAUUCUAACCAAAAUGAAUGCUUCCCUACAUAAUACCAUAACAAACUCACCUUAAAUUUUGUACUUCUUCAAUUAACAACCAUGAACACAUAACCUCACACAAAAUAUCAUCUCAUUGAAACAACACACACUAGCAAUCUUCUCACCUUCAUUUUGAUUCAACAACCCAACCGCAACAACACGUCGGCACCACAACAUCGCCCAACACAUCAGAAGCUUUCAGCCGCUGCUCUACACCACAUGCACACCACUGGAAAACCAUCACCAUCUUGAAUUUGAAUGAACCACCUCUUCGCCGCCUCACUUGUUUCCAUCAUUGAUGUGUCCGAUUCGAGUAAGCAUCGAGAGAGAUGAUAAGUCUUUAUUUUUAAGCCAUUGUUGAUGUUUG